rnacentral:misc_RNA from 1 species
UGAAUUGCGUUAAGAAUCACGAAUUACAGAUAUUAUGAGUGACAUAUUUUCGAUUGCAUAUUGCACCGUUGGGCAUUUGUUCAUCGGUAUACCCAACUCAGGGUGUGAUUAUAAAAAGAAAUUGAAAAAUUCUUUCAGUUGGCGCAAUGCAUUUGAUUGUGCCGAGAUUCAAGUAACAUAAAGUUCAUUGUUGAGCGUGUUGCUGUGUCAAAGCAUCCUUGUGAGCGAAGGAACAACGUUGGGUUUUUGUUUUCCAGGACUUUUCAAUAAUUUAUUGGCGAAGAGUUGUGGACUUUCGAAGAGUCGACGGUGUGCUUAGCAGCCUCUGACACCACCAUUUCUCUAAUGGUUGAAUCCACCUGAGUUGAGUAUGACUACCUGCUGAACUUAA